GACGAACGCUGGCGGCGUGCUUAACACAUGCAAGUCGAACGGAAAGGCCUCUUUCGGGUGGUACUCGAGUGGCGAACGGGUGAGUAACACGUGAGUACCCUGCCCUUGACUUUGGGAUAACUUCCGGAAACUGGGGCUAAUACCGGAUAGGGGCCCCUGCUCCACGGGGGGGGUGGGAAAGUUUCGGCGGUUGGGGGGGGACUCGGGGCCUAUCAGCGUUUUGGUGGGGGUGUGGGUUACCAAGGCUUUGGCGGGUAGCCGGGCUGGGGGGGUGACCGGCCACAUUGGGGCUGAGAUACGGCCCAGACUCCUACGGGGGGCAGCAGGGGGGAAUAUUGCACAAUGGGUGGAAGCCUGAUGCAGCAACGCCGUGGGCGGGAUUGCCGGCUUCGGGUUGGAAACCGCUUUCGCUCAGGACGGAGCUUUGUGUGACGGUAGUGGGUAAAGAAGCACCGGCUAACUACGUG
rnacentral:rRNA from 1 species